rnacentral:rRNA from 1 species
UACAGAGGUCCCAAGCGUUGUUCGGAUUCACUGGGCGUAAAGGGUGCGCAGGCGGUUGGGUGUGUCAGAUGUGAAAUCCCGAGGCUUAACCUCGGAACUGCGUCUGAAACUACUCGACUAGAGUAUUGGAGAGGGUAACGGAAUUCACGGUGUAGCAGUGAAAUGCGUAGAUAUCGUGAGGAACACCAGAGGCGAAGGCGGUUACCUGGACAAUUACUGACGCUCAGGCACGAAAGCAUGGGGAGCAAACAGG